UUUUUGGAAAGAAUACCACAGAAGUGGGGCACCUGCAUGGCUCAGUAGGUUAAGCGCCCCACUCUUGGUUUUGGCUCAGUCAUGAUCUCAGAGUUCUGAGAUCCAGCUCCAUUUGGGCUCCACACUGAGUACAGAAUCUGCUGAGAUUCCCUCCCUGUGCCUGCCACCCCGCCUUGUGUGUGCAUGUGAUCUCUAAUAAAUAAAAAGAAUACCACAAGUGUGUCCAUCUUAGCGUGUCCUUAUCAGGAGGCACAUGGAUGUCAAUGUCUCAUUUUUGGCAACCUUAACUUUGGUGAAGGUGGUAUCUACCAGUUUUCUCCCCUAUAGGUACUUAGAUAUGAUAAGACUAUUAUUCAGAGGUUUCCUGGUUGCCUGAGUGUGUAGACGUAAUACUUGAUCUCAGGGUUGUGAGUUAAAGACCCGCGUUGGGCAUAGAGCUUACCUAAAAAAAGGGGGGGUGCCUGGGUGGCUCAGUCAGUUAAGUGACUCGAUUUUAACUCAGGUCAUGAUCUCAGGGUCAUGAGAUAGAGCCUUGCUUCGGGCUCUGCACUCAGUGGAGAGUCUGCUUGAGGAUUUCCUCUCCCUUUGUCCCUUCCCCCAUUCCUGCCCUCUCCCUCUAAAAUCUUUUUUUCAAAAAUUCACAUUUCAUUUUUUCAUCUUUUACCUAUUCUAGCAUCUACUGAUACUCUUGCCUGAAGGAAUUACUAUUGUGGUGUUUGCCAAAUAAUGAUGUUUUAUUUCCAUCAUUCCCGCUCUAUUUAUUAAUUGGAAUUCUGUAAAGAAGAGCUUUCCCUUAUCCCUAUUAUUUAUUCCAUUAUUAUGCAGCACAAACUCAUGGAUAUUUUGGGCUCUGUGUUAUAAUCCAUUACUGUCCUCUAUUUUGUUGCUCAGUUGUCCCAGAUUUGGUCACUGGGAGAUCCUUUGGUUGGUUCCCAUGUCCUUUUGACAUAUCCCCAUCAUUUUUUGAGUACUUUAGGCACCAUGUAUUUAUGGCCUGGAUUUUUUUUUUAUAAAGAUUUUAUUUAUUCAUGAGAGACACAGAGAGAGAGAGAGAGGCAGAGACAGGCAGAGGGAGAAGCAGGCUCCAUGCAGGGAGCCCAACGUGGAACUCGAUCCCGGGUCUCCAGGAUCAGGCCCUGAGCUAAAGGCGGCACUAAACUGCUGAGCCACCUGGGCUGCCCUGGCUUGAAUUUUCAAGUUAGCCAUUAGCACACCUUUACGUGAUAGGGAGAAAGGUGGGUGGGGAGGGGGGCAAGUAAGGAAUGAAAAAGUGGAAUAUGUAAACGUAUACAUAACAGAAUGAGGAAUUAAGGAAUUCUUAUUGCUUCAAAAGACAGCGAGGUCAGAGUUAGAUUUGAGAGGACUUUUUCUGGUCUACUACUCCGCUCAUGUUCCCUUUACCUUCAGCUCACAUCUCAGUUCAGAGCUUCUUCACUCAUCACAGAAACCCUCUAUCCCUGGAGGUUGAAGGAACCUUCUAGUAACUUCCUAGUGGACUAAAUGGGUUGCUCAAAGGGGCCCAGAGAUAGGUGCCAAUCUGUGGGCUGUUACCAGUCUGUGAUGUGGUAAGUGCAAAAACAGAUCUAUGUUAAGAAGUUUUUAUAGCAAUUUGACAUGACAUGAUCUCCAAACAAAUUAUCAACAGCUUCCUCUUUAAUGAAUAAGGUACAGACCACAGGCCAGUUUGGGUGUAAAGCCUGCACGGUGAACCACAUGCAGAACAAGCUGUGUCCCAGUCAUGCACAAUGAAACCAUGUCCUAAUAGAUAUUUUAAGGUUAGUUUGCCAACUGUUACCCAAAAGUAUAAAAAAUUAACAUUUACAUCAUAAAUUGUUAGAACUGAAGAUUUGAAGACCUAUUUUGGGAGUAAGUCAUCACUUCCUUUUAGCUUAGAUGAAAAUUAAAAAUAAAUAUCCUGAGCUUGCUGGAUUACUUUAAAAUAUCUUCUUUCGUUUCUGUCAACAUAGCUCUGUGAGACUACAGUUUCUCUACUAUAGAUAUAUAUAAAAACAGAGAAGUCAUUCAGCUCUGUAUCUGCCCUGCGUGUAGCACUGUCCUCAGUCCAACCUGAAUCAGAUAAGUUACCAAACAACCACGCUUACUGGUCAUGUUUAAACUUUAAAUAAGAAACAUGGUGUUUCGGGAUACCUGGGUGGCUCAGCAGUUAAGUACCUGCCUUCAGCCCAGGGUGUGAUCCUGGAGUCCCGGGAUUGAGUCCCACAUCGGGCUCCCUGUGUGGAGCCUGCUUCUCCCUCAACCUAUGUCUCUGCCUCUCUGUCUCUCAUGAAU
rnacentral:lncRNA from 1 species